UUUGGAUCAUGAGAUCAAAAAACUUAUCUAAAGGUCAUAAUUUCACAAUUAGAAAGGAAGUCAUACCAUUAAUGAAGAUAUCAUCCCACUCUCUGCAAAACUAUUGAAGAGAGCAACGACUACUGCUCGGGAAAAGGAUAUAUUGAAAUUAAAACUUUAUUAGUCAUUUCAAACAUUAAUAAUAACACAAUUACAUCAAAUUAUUUUCAUAUACACUAUUGCAAGCAUUGAUACAAAUGUAGCGACCUGAAAAGGUUAAAAAAAACUUGUAGCGAAAGUUUUGAGGUGCAACAAUCAGCAAAGGUUCCAGUGGUUCUCGAGAAGGCUCAAGGAAAAACCUGAAAUGUGGAACUAGUGGGGAGGAAAUGAGCCACUAAGGUCGCACAGACAAAUGCACCUAAGCUCAUGCCUGAGAGAAUUCCAAACGCAGAUGCAUAAAAGCCUUGC
rnacentral:lncRNA from 1 species